CACGUAGGGGCCAAGCGUUGUCCGGAUUCAUUGGGCGUAAAGAGCUCGUAGGCGGUUCAGUUAGUCGGGUGUGAAAUCUCCGGGCUCAACCCGGAGGGGCCACCCGAUACUGCUGUGACUCGAGUCCGGUAGGGGAUUGGGGAAUUCCUGGUGUAGCGGUGAAAUGCGCAGAUAUCAGGAGGAACACCGGUGGCGAAGGCGCCACUCUGGGCCGGUACUGACGCUGAGGAGCGAAAGCGUGGGUAGCAAACAGG
rnacentral:rRNA from 1 species